GACGAUAUAGCUCAGUGGUGGAGUGCAUGCUUAGCAUGCCUGAGGUCCUGGGUUCAAUCCCCAGUACCUCCA
rnacentral:tRNA from 1 species